UUAGGAAUAUUGGACAAUGGGCGCAAGCCUGAUCCAGCCAUGCCGCGUGAGUGAUGAAGGCCUUAGGGUUGUAAAGCUCUUUUGGCGGGGAAGAUAAUGACUGUACCCGCAGAAUAAGCCCCGGCUAAAUUCGUGCCAGCAGCCGCGGUAAUACGAAUGGGGCAAGCGUUGUUCGGAAUCACUGGGCGUAAAGCGUGUGUAGGCGGUUUGACAAGUCAGAAGUGAAAGCCCAAGGCUUAACCUUGGAAUUGCUUUUGAAACUGUCAGACUGGAAUCCCGGAGAGGUUAGCAGAAUUCCAAGUGUAGAGGUGAAAUUCGCAGAUAUUUGGAGGAAUACCAGUGGCGCAAGCGGCUAACUGGACGGGCAUUGACGCUGAGACACGAAAGCGUGGGGAUCAAA
rnacentral:rRNA from 1 species